rnacentral:lncRNA from 9 species
GUGGAGUAUAUGCUUUGCAAGGCCUUUUGCUCUUUCUGUGUAGUCUGCCCAAGAACACUGGGAGAGAGACGCACAAGGCUGUUGUCAAAUAACAUAUGCCGAUGGGAGUUGAAAAUAGGAUGUGUGUGGAGGAGAAAAGUCAGAGCGUUGUGGAAGCUGGACAAAAUCAUUACACCUCAUAAGAAGCAGGCAGCAGAAGCCCGAGGGAUAGGAAAAAAUGACAAGAUGGUCUGGGAACAGGAGGAAGGUCCAGGACCACUUGCUGCCUCAGUCCCGGGCCUCCCACUUCCCCUUCUGAGGCAGAGGCAGGAUCUGGGCUCAAACCAGGCUUUCCAGAUGAGCUCUCCACUCCUGGACCAGCCAUCCAAAAUGGGCCUUUCUUCAUGUCAUUCCACAACUCAAACCCUUCAGGAGAAUGCUGGAAGAAGUGAUGAUACAACCAAAUUUGCAACGUUCUUUGCACUGCAACAAGGAUAAACCACUGCAUGAAUAUGCAAUGAUUAUCCAAUCAAUGGCCUCCCAUUCUCCCUUGCACUGGCCAUCUCAUCGCCUGGCAACCUCUCACUAACCUGUGGUCAUUGGAAAACGGCUUAGCCUUCCAGACAACUGAAAGUUACAGGCAACUUUUUGACUUUUUGUCUGUCCUUUUCUAGUUAAGUUCCUUUCUAUAUUCCUAGUAGAGCAUUCUUUAGUACACAGUAGGCACAUUGAAUUACUGUGGGGUGCCUGGAUUCUAAAUCGCUAUAGUUGGGAAGGUAUGGCUGACAUUGACCUUAUUUAAUGGUAUAAUACCUUCUUUAAUUAUAUGAAAAAGUUAGAUCUAUGACUAUAAUUUGACUUUCAAUUUACCAGAAACCUAAUAAGAC